UACGUAGGGUGCAAGCGUUAAUCGGAAUUACUGGGCGUAAAGCGUGCGCAGGCGGUUAUGUAAGACAGAUGUGAAAUCCCCGGGCUCAACCUGGGAACUGCAUUUGUGACUGCAUAGCUAGAGUACGGUAGAGGGGGAUGGAAUUCCGCGUGUAGCAGUGAAAUGCGUAGAUAUCGUUUGGAACGCCGAUGGUGAAAACAGGUUGCUGGGAGUGUGCUGACGCUGAGACACGAAAGCCAGGGGAGCAAACGGG
rnacentral:rRNA from 1 species